rnacentral:tRNA from 4 species
GCACCAUUAGCUCAGAUGGUAGAGCAACUGACUCUUAAUCAGUGGGUCCUGGGUUCGAGUCCCCGAUGGUGCACUA